CAACAUUAGAAAUUUUAAAAAAGCAUGUAUUCAAAAAAGCUAAAAAAAGGUAGGAAAUAUAGUUUAUAUUAUCACAAAAAACUUUAUUGAAAUGGAUGAUUUUCUAGGAAAUUUAAAAUUACUAAUUUUAAUUUUAGAAUAGUUGAAAAACACAGAAAAUAAAAACAUGUUAAAACAGAUGGUUGUACAGGAAAUUCACUUAAAUGUCUUAAGGAACAGAAAAUGAUCAUGUUAAUAAUCAUAGAUGGAAAACCUACCAAUCAAGCAUAAUCUUUAUAUCAAAAGCUAGCACAAGUGAUGAAUAAAAUUAUAGGUCAAUUUCACAUGUGAACAUAAAUAUGAAAAUGAUUAAAAAAGGGACCCUCCAUUAAAAUUAUAAAAACUAUAUCAUGACCAACAAAGUCUUAGUACUCCAUUUUAAGGAUGGUACCAAAUUAGGAAAUAUAUAAUUAAAACUUAUCACAUCAGGAGGUCACUGGAGAAGAAUCUGUAAUCAUCUACCAAAAAGACAUUUGAUAAAACAUAACAUCCAGUACUGACAAAAACUAUGAUUAAAAUAGGCAUAGAAGGAUAAUUAAUUAUCUCGGUGGUUCUCAACCAGGGACAUUUUUGUCUUGAGGAGACAUUGGCAAUUUCUGGAAACAUUUUCAUUGCCAUGAUUUGAAAAUGGUGCUAUUGAUUGUGAAGAGGCACAGGUCAAGGAUACUCCUUACUAAACAUCUCAAAAUGCACAGGAAAAUGUUUCCCUCCCCCUAUGAAGAAUUACCGAACUCCUAAUAUUGAUGAUACCAAGAUUGAGAGUUGGUUUAUGUGACAGUCAACCUCAUAACUACAAUGAGUACCAUACUAAAAACUGAAAAAUUGCAGGAAUUCUUGUUUCAGCCUUACAAGUCUAGGAUAAUUAUCCAAUGAACAAUAUAAUCAAAGCAAUAAAAAGAAGUGAGGAUUAAGUACUGGAAUGAUCAAAGCAUAGUAUUAUUUUGUGACAAUGUGAAAAAACCCAACAACAUUAUUGGAAAUACUCUUAUGCCAUAUAAAGGAGUUCAAUAAUAUCAAAUCUAAAGUUAGUAUGGGUGGGGGAAUAUAAUAAUACUUUUUCAGAUAAAAAAUUAAUUUAUAAACCCAUGAUGAACAAAAGAGUGAUACAUCAAAAUAAUCAGUUAAAUCAAUGGAAAUAAAGUCAAUAAAUAAGCAUAACUAUAGUAAAAGGGGAUGCACUAAAUAGUACAUAGAAGAAUAGCUUAAUAGCUAGGGAUGUAGCUCAGUGGUGCCAUGCCUGCCUCACAAGUGCAAGGUCCUGAGUUUGAUCUCUGGUACAGGAAAAAAGAAGAAAAGAAAGAAAAAGAAGAAUUUGUUAAAAAGGACAAGAUAUAAUAAUUGUACAUCAUCAUGUGCUUAACAAUAGAGCUUUGGAAAAUAUGAAACAAAACUAAUAGAAAUACAUAAAGAUAGUACAUAUUUGUGGGACAAAUUUCAUACUUCUUGAAGAAAUAAAUAUUUCAAAUAGACAAAACUAACAGUGUAUAGAAUAUAGAUGACAUGACCAAUAGCUUUAUACUAACAAACUUAUAGUGCACAUUCAUUUCAGACACACAUAAAUCAUUCAAACAAAUUGAUAACAGAAGAGAUCAUAAAGGAAAUCACAGCAAAUCUGAAAAAGUAGAAAUUAUAGAGGCUUCUUUAUUCCCUGAAUAAAUGAGAAAAGAACUAGAAGAGAUUAAAUCAAUCACUAUAAAUCAUAUAUAGAAACACUUACCAAAAAAUCUUGCAUUAAUAAGGAAAUGAAAAUUAUACACUACUUAGAAAUAAGCCACUAGAGCAUUAAAUAGUAAAACCUGUGAGAUGUGGCCAAAGCAGUUAUUAAAGGUCAAUUUAUGGACAUAAAUGCAUAAAUUAGAAAAUGAGGGAAAUUGAAAUCAAAUGUACCAAAAUAAUAUUUAGGAUACUAGGAAGAACAACAGAAACAAGAAAAAAAUAUCAAAUCUCCAGAGAGUAGAAGGAAGGACCUAAUGAAGAUUAAAAACUGACAGCAAUAAAAUAAGACCAACAAAGGCAGUGAAAUUGAGAAAAACAUCUUUAAGUUUGUUUAGGAAAAAAGGGUAUAAAUGAAUAGUAUCAUAAAGAGAUAAAAUGGUAUAAUUACAGAUCAGAAGGAAUAGUGUCUUUAUAUCAAUAACUGAGAAAAUAGAUGAAAUACCAAUUUUCUAAAAAAACAUACAAAUUAGCAACAUUAGCUCAAGAUGUAGUAGGCAUCCUAAACGUGCUAUUUCUACUGAUGAUGUGGGAAUGUCAGUUAAAGAUAUUCUUUUAGGAAAACCAUUAAGCUUGGAUGGUUCUAUUAUUUGACUUUAUUACACUUUUAGAAAAUAGAUAAUCAUUAUGUUGUAAAUUGGAAAGUUACCUUCUGAAUUAGUAUAAAUUUGAUAUUACAAUCAUAGCAGAAGCCAAAGCAUUUUUGCUGAUUAUUCUUUCAUGAUAAACAAGAAUCACCUCUUCAAAUAUUUGUUUCCCACAUGAGCUGUAAAAGAAAAAUUAUUAAGGGAAAAAUGUCUAUCAGAAAUCCAUACCAGUGACUAAACUAUGAAGAGUACUUCCAUUCAAAGCAUGACCUAGAGAAGGUUUCCUAUUAGUUCUACAUUGAAUAUUCUAUUGAAGUUCCAACCCCAUGCUAUAUAACAAGAAAAAAUUAAAAAGUCAUGUAGAUAAUGUAAAGAAAGAGAUAAUAGCAUCAUUUUGAUUUUUUUCAGCCAACUUCCCUAAGAAAGGGUAAGAUACAAUCAGUUGAGAAAUCAUUAGAGUUAUUAAGAAAGUUUCAUAUAAUGGCCCAAUACAAAAUAAAUAUAUAAAAAUGGAUAGCUUUUGAUACACAAGUACUAUCUCAUUAGAAAAAGUAAUAGACAAAAUAACCCAAUUUACAUAGCAUGAAAACUACAAAAUAUCUAGAAAAAACCAUUAGAUUAUUGAAAGGCAUAAUAGGCCCAAGUAAGAACCAUCAAGACAUAUUAUAAUCAUAUAUUGGUUCAAGUAGAAUGGUAUCCAUGCUAAAGAUUUGACUAGAGCAGUAUAAUAGUCUGGAAAAAGAUCCCUGUUUAUAUGCAUAUUAUUUUGUGAAAGUAGCAUUUCAUAUUAGUGAGAAAAAGAAUGAAUAAAUAGUAUGAAAAUAUGAGAUACCACUUGGAAAAGAAUCUAUCUAUCAUCUAUCUAUCUAUCUAUCUAUCUAUCUAUCUAUCUAUCUAUCUGUUACGGUACUGGGGAUUAAAACGGGUUUUGGCACGAGUGCACUGAGUUUACAUUUCCAGCCCUUAAAAAAAUUAUUUUGAGGUAGGAUCUGGCUAAGUUGUUCCAGGUUGGGCUGGGAUUUGAGAUCCUCCUGCCUUAGUCUCCCAGUACUUGGAUUAGGGUGUGCACCACUAUACCUUGCUGAAAAAUAUUGUAUUUUUUAAUGUUACUUUACUUGUCAGAGUAAGUUCCAGUGUUUUACAAAAACAAAACCUUUUAGGUUAACUUUUUAAGUUAGUAAAAUAUUAAAUACAUUAGCUAUAGAAGCAAAUAGAAGUCUGUCUCAAUAAAAUUGUAAGGUUCAUAAACAUUGAUCUCCUCGAAAUAGAAAGUAGAAUAUGGCCACUGGAGGCCAGAAUGAGUAGGUGGGAGAGAGAUGGAGGGAGGUUGGACAGUGAGUAUCAAAAUGAAUUUAGUUAGAAGGAAUAAAUUCAAGUGUUUUAUAACUCCAUAGUGUGAUAAAGUUUUAUAUGUGUUUUAUAAAGCACUAGAAGAGAGGAGUUGGAAGUCUACCAGUACAAAGAAAUGAUAAAUGUUUAAAGAGGUUGAAAUGCUAAUUACCCUGGUUUUAUCAUCACAUAUUGUAUCACAUAUCAAAUUGUAACCUUAUACCCCAUAAAUAUGUACAAAAACUUCCAUAUGACAAAAGAUACUAUGAACAAAAUUAAUAGAGUACAUGCUAGUGGAAAUAUUUACAAUAUCUGUAAUAAGCAGAAGAUUAAUAUCUAACAUAUGUAUAAAAUUUGGAAAUAAAAAGUAAAAAUCAUCAACCCAAAAGGAAAAUAAGAAAUGGAUUCUUGUUCUAUUUUUUUCUGCAGUACAGCUUUGCAAUUCUUCCAGGAAAGAUGUGGUGAACUUUGAGUCCUUAAACAAUUUAAAAUGUUUUUCUUUUGCCUUAAGGCUUGACUGAUAUUUUGGAUGGGUAUAGAAAUGUAAAUGUAGUAUAAUUUUCUUUCAAAAUUUGAAGGUGUUGCUCAAAAACAGUCAGAUGUCAGUGUGAUCCUUGUUCUUCUGCAAGUAAACUUUUUUUUCUAAAAAGUUUUUUAAUGUGCUUUCUGAAUUUCAGAGGGAUAACUUUGUAACUUUCUCCUGUUACCCUGCUUGGUAUUUAUGGAUUUUAUUGUUAACUCAAAGACUUUAUUUUCUUCUUCAGGUCUUGAAAAUUUUCAUUUAUUAGUUCUCUGAUUUUUUUUCCUUUCUGCCAGUCUAUUUUUUCCCAUUACCUCUCUGGGAUUUAGAUUUCAGGACUUUUGAAUUUACCUUCCAAGUCUCUUUUGCUAUGUCUCUGUCUCUGUUUUUCCCUUCCUUUCUCCUUUCCUUAGUUAAUUCCUUCCUUCCUUGGUAUAAUUUUGUCCUGUGUUUUAUUUUGGGGAAAUCAAUAUUCUACCUCAUUAAUUUACCCUUCAGCUAUGCCCAUUAGCUAUUUAACCAAGUGUCAUUUUCUUUUAAAACUGAACUGUCAUACUUUUUUGUCUUUGGGAUUUUAAAUUGAUUUUUUUUUUUUUUUUGGUACCAGGGAUUGAACUCGGGUCCUUGCACUUGCGUGCCAGGUGGUGAAACCACUGAGCUAAAUCCCGGGCCCUUAAAUUGACAUUUUAAAAAUUAAUUUUAUUGGUACAUUUUAGGUAUACAAUAUAAUAACACUCAUCAUUGGAGAUUUGUACCUUUACAUAAUAUAUCUUGAUUCUUAUUUUAAAUUGAUUUUUGAAAUAGCCUACUUCACAGUCCAAAGAUAUCAUUAUAUUUUGUUAUUACUUUACUUGAAGUUGAAUCCUAUAUACUCUAUUGACUCAAUUGACACUACUGAUAUUUUAAAAAAUGUGUUGAAUAUGGCACCCAUGAACUAGGUUCACAGCGCACUGGGUACCGCUUCGGCCUGCUGUAUCUUGGGCUGUAAUUUCCAUUACUUGUAUGAGUUUGGUGAGAAAGAACUUAUACAACAUUUUAAGCAGAGCAACUUUAUUACAAAUAUAGGCAACAGAUGAUAGUAGAAGGCUAAGGAAAGUUGCUCUGAGAAGACAGAAUCUCACCUGUGUUCCCACCUUGCCAAACAGCUGAGAAACCCUAGAAAUCAGCCCCCUGUGCUUUAUCCCUGGGGUAACAUGACUAGCAGGGAUGAAGCAGUUUCUACGUGUCUCAGAAUGUUGAAUUUCCAGUACAUUCUGCAAUUAUUCUAAAGAACUACAAGCAAGAAAGUUGGGGAAACCGAGUUAGUCCAAGAAAGACCCUCCCCAAAGAAUUAUCCUACAUUCACUGACUGGGAUAGAUUUCCUAAAUGUUCAGUUGUCCUUGGCAAUAUCAUUGUUUUUAUAAUUAAGAACCUCAGUUAAUUUUUUCCAUAAUUUUAGAUGUAUAGCUUGAUCAGUUUUGACAAACGUAUCCAAUUAGGUAAAUAUCAAUACAAUCAAUGGAGACAUUAUUUGUAUUUUGCCAAAUUUCUUUUCUGCUCCUUUUUAGUAAUUCUGCUCCCCAUAUAUUGGCAACCACUUAUCUGUUCAUACUUCCUCUAGUUCUGCCUUUAUACUUCUGAGUCUGGCUUCAUUCGUUUAACUUAAGACUUUGAGCUGCUUCUAUAUUGUUGCAUUUAGAAUUCCAUUGUAUGGAUAUAGUACUACAAUUUGUUAAUGUGUUCACCAGUUGAUGGGCAUUUGGAUUGUUUCAGUUUUUGUGAUUACAAAUAACUGCAUAUGUCUUCAUUUCUCUGGUAAAUAGCUAAGGUGUAGAAUCGCUAGAGCAUAUAGUGAGUAUAUGUUUAACUUUAUGAGAAGCGUUAAUAUUUUCCUACUGACUAUGCUUUACAAAAAACUUUUUAUUUUGAGGUAAUUGUAGAUUCAUGUGCAGUUGUAAGAAAGAAUUCCAUGUUUCUUUUACCCAGUUUUUACAAUAGAAACAUGCUACAUAUCUGUAGUGGAAUAUAACCACCAACAUAUUGACAUUGAACUAAUCAGGAUGCAGGAUAGCUGUAUACCAUGAAAAUCCUCCUGACGUUCUUCUCCAUCCCCAGGGUCCUAGAUCCCACAGUCACUAAUCUAUGCUCCAUGUAUUUGUUAAAGAUGUCCAUAGAGAAUGCUAUAUAAUGGGAUGAUACCAUGUUACACUAACAGACUCAUAGAUAACAUUGUCGGGGAUUUAUCUUUCUUCAUAUAGCAUAAAUUCCUGGAGAUGUACAAAAGUUGUUGUAUGUCAUCAGUUGCUCACUCCUUUUUGUUGCUGAGUAGUUUUCCACAGUUUGCUUAACCAUUCACCUAUCGAGGGGCAUCUGGACUGUUUCCAGUGGGUGAUCACAAAUAAAGCUUCUGUAAACAUAUCUCUACAGGUUUUAUGUGACCAUAAGUUUUCUCUGUCUGGGAUAAAUGCCUGAGAGUACAAUUGCUGGAUCAUAUGGGAGUUAUAUAUUUAGUUUCUUAAAGAAACUGCCAAACUGUUUUUCCAGAGUGCCUUACCAUUUUGUAUUCUCACAAACAAUGCAUAAGUGAUGUAGUUUUUCUGAAUCCUCACUAGCAUUUGGUGGUGUCAUUAGUUUUUAUUUUGGCCAUUCUGAUAGGUGUGUAGAGACCUUUCAUUACAGUUUUAAUUUACAUUUCCUUUGUGGCUAAUGCUGUUGACUGGAUUUGACAUCUGUACACUCUCUUCAAUGAAAUGUCUUUCUGUCUUUUAUUCAUUUUCCAAUUUGGUAAUUUGUAUUUUGACUGUAGAGCUCCAAGGGUUCUUUCUAUAGGUUAGAUGUUAGGACUUUGUUGAAUAUAUUUGUUAGAAAUAUUUUCUCUCAGUCUGCGGCUUGUCUUUUCACCCUCUUGAUAUGAUUUUUUUGAAGAGCAAAAUUUAAAAUUUUGAUGAAGUACGUGUUAUCAAUUUUUUUUCUUUUAUGAUCAUGCUUCUGGUGUCGAGUCCAAGAACAUUUUGCCUAGUCCUAGGUCCUGAAGAUGUUCUUUUAUUUUCUUCCUAAAAGUUUUAUAGCUUUACCUUUUACAUUUAAGUCUGAGACUGUGAUUCAUUUUGAGUACUUUUUAAAAAAAAGUAUAAGACUUGAAUUGGGGCUCAUUUUUUUCCUGUACAAAUAUUUAUUUGUUCUAGCACCACUGAAUUGCUUUACAUCUGUAUCAAAAAACCAGUUAUAUAUAUUUGUGUGGAUCUAUUUCUGGCUUCCUUACUCUGUUUUCUGUGUCUCCCUGUAUCAAUAUCACAAUAUAUUUAUUGCAUUAGUGGUGAAGUAAACUUUGAUGUUGGGUAGAGUGAUUCUUCAUUCUUUUAAAAAGUUUUUCUUUAUUCCUUUUCAAGAUUGUUUUGAGUUUCCUAAGAUUUGUGUUUGUCCAUAUAAACUUUAGAACAAGCUUGUCCAUGUCCAGAAAAAUCCAUUACGCUAGCAUGAUAGAAGUUGCAUCUAAACUGUAAAUUGUUUUGGAGAGAUCUUUACUAUGUUGAACCUUACAAUCCAUGGUACUGGUAUAUCUCUAUAUUUACUUAGGUUCAUUUUGAUUUCAUUCAUUAGUAUUUUAUAAUUUUCAGCAUACAGGUCAUAUACAAGUUUUGUUAAGUUUUUAUCUAAAUGCCAUUUUUUUUCUGGAGAGAUUCCAAGUAAUAUUAUGUUUUAAACUUCAGUUACUUCAUAUCUGGGUGUAAGUGCACAGAAACACAAUUGAGUUUUGUUUGUUUGUCUUUUAUCUUGUGACCUUGCUAACUCAUUCAUUAAUUAUAGGUCUGUUUUUAUGAAUCCCUUUGUAUUUUCUACGUAGAUAAUUACGUUGUUUUCAAAUAAGAAUGAUUUUAUUUUUUCUUUCCAAUUUGUGUUAUUCUCAUUUCCAUAUUGCAGCAGCAGAAUGUCUAGUGCUGUAUUCAAUAAAGGUGGUAAGAGUGACUUUUGCCUCAUUUUUGGCCCUACAGGGAAGUAGUAGGUGUUUUACCAUUAAGUGUGGUGUUAUUAUAGAGUUUUUUUUUUUUUUCCAGUACUGGGAAUUGAACUCAGGACCUUGUACUUGACAGGCAGGCGUGGCCCCACUGAGUUAAAUCCCUAGCUCUAUUGUAGUGGUUUUUUGUGGAUGCCCCUUAUCAAAUUGAGGUGGUUCCCCUCUAUUCCUAAAUUGCUGAGAAUUUUUGUUCUAAAUGAGUAUUAAAUCUUGUCAAAUGUUUUUGGUUUAUCAAUCUAUAUGAUCAUAUAAUUUUUCUUCUUUAACUUGUUGAUAUGACAAACUGCACUGAUGGAUUCCAGCCUUGCAUACCUGGAAUCAAUUGCCUUUGGCCAUGGGAUAUGAUUAUUUUAAUACAUAAUUAGAUUUGAUUUGCUAAUAUUUUGUUGAAGAUUUUUGUGUCUAAAUUCAUGAGAAGUAUUAGUCUGCAAUUUUUUAUUUUUCUUUUGAAAAGUUUCUUGUAAGGCUUUGGUAUUGGAUAAUACUGGGUCUACAAAAUGGGUUGGGAAAUAUUCUAUCCUUUUCUGUUUCUAGAGUAGAUUAUGUAAAGUCAGUGUUAUUGAUGUUAAUUUUUCUUUAAAUGUUUGGGAGAAUUCUCCAGUAAAACUGUGAGAGCCUGGAGAUCGACUCUUUCCUUCCCUCUCCCUCUCCCCUACCAUUUUCUCUGUUUCUUUCAAAAGGGAAGAUUUUAAAGUAUGAACACAACGUCUACAAUGGUUAUAGGUCUAUUCACGUUAUGUAUUUGAUUUGAUUGAGUUUUGUUUAUGAGUUUGGAAGAAUUGGUCCAUUUCUCUCUCAGUUGUCAAAUUUAUGAGGAAAAAAUUGCUUGUAGUUGUCAUUUUUAAAAUGGUUCCAAGAUCUGUGGAGAUACUCUUUCUUUCAUUCCUGAUACUGGUAGGUCAUAUUUUCCUUCUUUUUAUUUUUGAUUCUUACUACAGGUUUAUUGAUUUUUGUCAAUUCUGUCAAUCUGUUUUUGUUUUAUGGAUUUUCUCUAUUGUUAGCCCACUUUCAUUGAUUUCUUCUUUGUUACUUAUUUAUUUUUCUCUGUUUUAUUUUUCUUUUUGCAUUUCUGUUUUUCUUUAUUCAGGAAGACAUAUAGAUUAUAGAUUUUAGGCCUUUCCUCUUUCCAAUAUAUGAAUUUAGUACUAUAAAAUUUCCUUCUAUCGGUAGUAUUACAUUAGCUGUGUCCCAUAUAGUUUGAUAUGUUGCAUUUUCAUUUUAUUCAGUUAUGUGCUAUUAAAAUUAAUUUCCUUUGAGGCUUUGUCAUUGACUAAUGGGUUAUUUAGAAGUGUGACAUUUAAUUUUCUAUUGUUUAAAGACAUUUCCAUUGUCUUUUUACUUUUUCUCAUGUCCAGUUUGAUUUUGCUAUGGUCAAAAAACAUAUAUAUAAUUUGUAUAAUUUAAAUUCUUUUAUAGUUAUUGAGGUUUGUCUUAUGGUCUUGGUUUAUCUUGGUAAAUCUUUCAUAGGCCUUUGAAAAUGGGGUGCAGUAUUAUAUAUAUAGUUGACUCUUUCUAUCAAUGGGUUCUGCAUCUGUGAAUUUACCCAAACGUGGAUUGAAAAUAUUUAAAAAAAUUGUAUCUGUAUUGAACAUGUGCAGACCCUUUUCUUGUUAUUACCUGAUUAUUCUCCAGACAGUAAAGCAUGGCAAUAAUUUAUAUGACAUUUAUAUUGGAUUAGGUAUUAUAAGAAAUCUAGUUAUGAUCUGAAGUACAAGGGAGGAUAUGUAUACACCUUACAUAAAUUCCAUACCAUUUUAUACAAAACACUGGAGCAUUCAUGAAUUUUGGUGUGUGUAGGAUUCCUGGAACCAUUCCCCCAUGGAUACUAAAGGUCAACUAUAUAUGCUAAUAAGAUCUUGAUGAUCGAUUGCUUUGUUCAGAUCACUACAGUUCUUUCUGAUUUUCUGUGUAGUAGUCCUAUCAGUUGUUGAGGGUGUGAAUUUCCCCAACUAUAACUGUGGAUUAUCUUUUUGUAUAUUCACCUCUAUCAGUUUUUGUUUCAUGUAUUUAGAGCUUUGCUUGUUGUGUACAUAUCUACAAUGUUAUAUCUUCUUGGAUAAUUGAUUUUGUUAUUCAUCCCUUUUUGUCGAGCAAUUUUCUGAGGUCCAUUUUAUUGAUACUAAUAUAACCACUCAUGAUUUUUAGAAAUUAAUAUUUUAUUUUUUUAUCUUCUUAUUUUCAACAUAUUUAUGUUGUUUAAUUUGAAAUAAGUUACUUAUAAAAAGCAUGUGAUUGGGUCAUGAUUAUUUUAGGCACUCAAUCAUUGACUUUUAAUUGGUAUAUUUGGCCACUUUAUUUUAUUUUGUUUUUUCUUUCCUCUUUUUCUCCACACUUGUCUCUGUGUGGGUGACUUAAAAAUGUUUAAGUUUAAAUGUUUAAUGAUCUUGAUUUAUAGUAGUUUUUCAUAUAAAAUUUUGUAUAAUUUUCUUUUUUGUUGCGAUGAAUAUCAGAACAUCAACAUGUGAUUUAUCGCUAAUGUAGACUAUUAUAUCAACAUUUUAUCAACUGAGUAAAUACUGGAAAUUUUACAUUUAAGUCCUUUUAUGAAAUAACCUAACUUUUAAAUAUCAUGUCUUGUAUAUAUUUUUAUUCAGUGCCUUUUGUUUUUUUUUGGUACCGGGGGAUCGAACUCAGGUCCUUGCGCUUGCGAGGCAGGCGGUGGAACCACUGAGCUAAAUCCCCAGCCCUUGUAUAUAUUUUUAAAAAUAGUUUUUGUUGCAAUUGUCAUAUGUGAUUAAAAAAAAAACCGUGAAAGAAGCAGGGUAUAUUGUAUUUAGCCACGCUGUGGUCUUUCUAUUUUUUGUUUUCUUCCUUCUUGAUGUUCUGAGAUUUGUUCUAUUGUUGUUUCAUUUCUAUUUGAAGAAUUUCACGUAGACAUACUUUAUGGGUGGGUCUGUUCUUUUAAGUUCUUUUAGUUUCCUUUCCUCUGAGAAUUUAUUUCUCCAUUAUUCCCAAGGGAUAGUUUUGCUGGGAAUGGACUUCUUAGUUAAUAAGUCUUUUAGCAGUUGAAAAAUGUGCUAUGUUUUUCUGGUCUUCGUGAUUUCAAAUGGGAAAUCUUAUGACAUUCAAUUUGGUGUUUUCCUUAGGUAAUAUUUUUAUUUUUCUCUUGCUGAUCUCCAGAUUUUCCUCAGUCUUUCUUUUCAAAAGUUCCAAUAUGUUGUGUCUUCAUCUGACCUAUUUUUGGGUUUAACUCUUCGAGGUUUGUUGCAUUUUUGAAUCCGUGUGCUUAUAUCUUUUGCUAAAUCUGGGAGAUUUUUAGCUAUUUCUUUGAAUGUUCUUUGAGUACCACUCUACUUGUCAUCUUCAGGGACACCAAUGAUGCAUUGUUGAGUCUUUGGUUAUUGUCCACAAGUCUCUGUUAAUUUUUUCAAUUUAGAUUUUUCAUGUUGUUCAGAAUGGGUAGAUUCCAGUGGUCUUUCCUCAGGUUUACUGACUUUCUCUGCCAUCUCUAUUAAAUAUUGAGUUUACCUAGCAAGUUUUGUAUUUCAAUUAUUGAAUUUUCCAUUUCUGUAAUUUAUAUUUCAUCCUUUUAAAUGAGCUGUAUUUAUCUACUCAAUUUUACUGACUGUUCUAACUUUUCAUUUGUUUCAAGACCAUGUGUAAUUUCUUGUGGAACCACUUUUGUGAUGCUUAUUAUUGUCAGUCCAUUUCAAUAUCAGGCUUACUGCAGUAUUGGCAUUUGUGGAUUGUCUUUCAUUCAAGUGGUGAUUUUGAUGGCUGUUGAUAGGAUAAGUGACUUUUGAUUGUAUUCUGAAAAUUUUGGCUUUUAUUUUAGAAGACUCUGGAUCCUAUUUAAACUUUUAUGUGAACAAGCAGUCGGUAUGUUUAGGUUAGGUUUAUUUUACAGGCCCUAGUCUACUUUUAGGGCUGUGGUUUAAUUUUUAGAGUCAAUGUGGUGUUAUUUUGGUACUGGUCCCUGCUUAUUCUUGAAUGGGAAGAAAAAUUUCCCCAGGCUGGGACUUCUGAUAAAUCCUUUUGGAGAAGGGUCUCUUACAUAGACAAAGAACACCUCCCAGACUGGAACUUGGGUGAUGGGUUCCCCAUAUCUGUGGGGGAUGGAGAGAGCUUCUUGGACCAUGUGACUGUUAUGAAAAGAUCCCUUACGACUUCAUAGUGUCUCUGAGUGGUAGAAGAGAAUCUAGACCCUGUGAGGAGAAAGAUUUAUUGUUGGUCUAGGGUUACAUUUUAUGCUAUGAACCCCUUGGUAGUGCCUCUAGGUGGGGGUUGCACAGUGUCUUUGAGUGGUGGGUGGGAGUCUCAGGCCUAACACCUCAGUUAGUUUUUAAUCUUUUGCUGCUGCUGGCCCCCAUGUAUGGAGGGUGGGGAGCCGAGCCAUGUUGAGUGAGCAUUGUCCUAUCUUCCUGGGUUAGACACUCAUGAACAUUGCCUGUUCUCUGAAUAUAUGCUGCUUGACACAUUGGCCACUGGAAAGAAAUAGUUGGGGGCAACCCACCUGGCUUCUCCUAACAAAGCUCUUCUAGAAUAAACAUGCAUUCUCCUAACAUGUUCUGCAGGUGCUCAGGGUGUCCCACCUAAGCCUGGCACUUCUUUGGCCCUCCUCACAUCAUUUUUUGUCGUUCUUUUCUGAGUAUAUGUUUUCUUUCUCAAUCAACUUUCAUCUUCUCUUUAUAUUUCAAGACGUCCUCAUGCCUUUGGGUCUACUAAAGAGACCCCUUUCUGUAUUUCAGGGGAGAGUAGAAGGGUACUUAUGCCAGGUGUCACAUGUCACUUACCGAUGGUGAUACAUUCUGAGAAGUGUGUCAUUAAAUUAUUUUAUAAUAUGAAUAUUAUAGAGUCUACUUACACAAACUUGGAUGAGUAUAGUUUACUGAUACCAAGGCUAUUUAAUAUAGCCACACAUAUGUUGGUUAUAUCUAAUCAGGUCAACAGACACACACACAGAGACACACACACACACACAGAGAGAGAGAGAGAGGGAGGGAGAGAGAGAGAGGCAGAAAGACGUAGAAACAGAGCAAUAGACUGAAAAUACAAUUUACUGCUAUCAUUGUUAAAAGAUACGCAGUUCAUGUUGGACUGAAAUGUCAUUACAUUUCAGACUUUGAGAGUAGAAGUUUAGCUUCCCAUCUUCACUUAAUCUCUUUUUCAAAGUCUGUUUUCUCAAACUUUCUAGAAUAAACACGCAUUACUUUGAUAUCAGUGAAAUCCAUAAAAUGAUGAAAAAUCUUUCCCAUUUUCUUGGCUCUGUGUUGCACAUUCUGCUAGGGGUACAGGCUCAGUGCCUUCCUCUUGAGGAGCUCACAGUGAGGGGGAAAUGCGUGUUCUUUGGAAAAUGUCCCCCAGGCAGUGGAAGGAAUAUCUAUGCUCUUGGGGGCAUGGAGCUGGGGCUUCCAGCUGCAGAGCUGGGCUCAUCCUCUGAAAGGGUGUGUGCAACUGUUGAAGGUUGCUCCCGAGUCUCACAGGAGGGGCUAAUCCUUCCCCUUCUUCAAAUUGCCAGUGUGUGCAAAAUGCUAACACUACACAUUUAAGUGACGUAUAGAUCAGAACAGAAUCAUAGCUUGAUGACAUAAAUUAAAGUAAUUAUAUUCAUUAGCAUGAUAAAAAAUAUGCAAACAAAUGUUUAUUAAAUGCAACCAUACAUCAACUCCAAAGGCUUUGGCGUUGUUUAUGUCUUUGUUGCUUCGGCAUUUUGUCAAAGGUGGCCUGUCAUGCUGAACUUAAUUGACACUAAUAAAAGCGGAGGGAGGAGGAGCCAGCCCAGAAUGUCAUUUGGCUGUGUAAGCUCAGGAGGGUUGAGGAUUUGCCUCCAGGCCUCACUGAGUCUUUCUGCCACUGGCCCUCACGUAGGCUUGGAGAAGGAAGUCCAGGUCUCCUCAUGUUUAAUGGAGGCAGCACUGCCAACCUUAUCGAGAUAUUUGAGGAUGCACACCCAAGGGUCCAGAGUCCCUUUCUCCUACUAUCAGCACCUGAUCAGAUAAAAGGGACCGUUUUCUGUAAGGGUUAGAUAUGUCUUCCCAGCAGCUGUUGUCCCCUCUCUGGCAAGUGGAAGUGCUUGCCUGUGCUCAAGAUGGGAGUAGCAAGGCUGUGGUACACUUGUGUUGGGUGCUGGCUGGUGAACCUGGCAGGCUGCUCUGACAAGGCAUCUUAUUUUCCCUGAAAGCAUCCGAAUACUACCUAGAAGCCUACUCAAAAAAAGAGCAGCCUUAGCUGUGAUGCUCAAGUUCACCGAGGGACUUGCUUUGCCAUGAGAACUGGUAUAUCACAGAUUUGCCUCUGAGCGAAGGCCCUGUCCAAUGGGCACAUGGCCAGUAAUUAUUACCAUUGUUUACCAAGCCCUGAAGAGUGUUUAGAAAGAGCCAGGCUGGAAGCAAUUUGAGCAGUCUGUCUGUCUUCUGUCCAGUGUGUGUUGAGUGUAGCUCAGGUGGAGAGUGAAGACCAUGAGGAAAUGUGGAGAGGGAGAUAUGGACAAUAAGCAAGGCAGAUGGUCUAGGGAAGAGAUCAGAGCUGGUCAUUGCUUUCCCUCAGCUUUAUUUUUCUACCUCUGUGUUAUACUUCAAGUUCUAUGAAAACCUUAGUCAGCCUUAGUCAGGAGGAUUUGGCUCUGGUUGUGGACAGUUUGGAGUAUCAUUCAGUCCCAUCCAUCUUGGGGACCUGUUUAUCUCCUAGUCAAGGGGCAGUUGAGCGACUUACUAUGCCACAUCUUGGAUUUGUCUUUUCCAAUUCUUGUCUCUGAUGACCAUUAGGCUCUCUGUCCAGUUUGACUUUUUGGGUCUCACCAGUGCUCCUACAUCUGCCCUUUACAGGAAAAAGAUGUUGUAGAGAACAAGGCUUCUUCAUCUUUAGAAGAUUCCUUCCAUCUUGAAAAGGAAGUAGAAAUGGAAAUGCUGAGAUUCAGAUGUCUGGAGUCACCAUGACCCCCAGGUAGGGACAGCAGAGGCCCUGACAGUUUACUUGGACUUCUGGGAGCACCUCAGGGAUGACCACUGCAAAUCCUCAUUUCUCCUUCCCUUAAAAAGGGAGCCUGGGUAAUUUAUUUCCAUGGGGAUGGUUUAUAUGGGGAGGAAAAGAACAGAUGUUAAGAAAACAAAGGAAGGCACACCACGACUUUUGUUUCUGAGCCAGUGGUGAUCAAUUUUGUAUACUUUAUUGCCUGGUCCAUGUUUUGGGGAUGGAUAUUUCAAGCCAUUUCAAUCAAAAGUAGGGCUACUCUAGGCUCUAAACAAAGGCCUAGAUUUAUUUUUUUUUUGGCAGCACAAUCCUCAAAGAUUACACUUGCUGCAACAUUUUUAGCCACGUCAACAUUCCUUAGGAAAUACAAAUAUGGGCAUUAUUUCAUGGAGAUGGCACUGGGUAAUAUAAUAAAAUGGAUUUAUUUCAUCUUAAUUUAUUUAAAAUGUGCAUAGACAGAACUGGGAUAAAAUCCAUGAGAUGAAAUAUCUACUUUGCAUGAAUAUAUUGAAAAAUUCAGCCACCUUCUAAGCCAAAAAAAAGAGGCAACUUUUUUUUCUCUCCUCAGAAUAAUAAGAAGAAAAGGUACUCUUUUUAAAACAAGAAAAUACAACCUUGACAGAGAGAAGUGAUUCAUGCCUAAUGGUUCCUGUGAAGGUGUGAGGGGACCUGCCGAUCUGUGCUGUUUUUGGUGGGAGUGCUCUGACUGGGCUCUAAAAUCUUCCUGUUUUUUUGCCAUACCAUGAAAAUAUAAAAGUCUCAUUUCAAAAACUGGAAAUAAGUGACCAGCUGGCUGACAGUGAGGUCCUCCACUUCAGGGAGCGGG
ensembl:lncRNA